CUCCCUUGUGGCCAAUUAGUUCUAAUGUAUCAUUGCUUACAACAAUCAACCUUGAUAUUGUUAUUGCAUUAUCUAUAUUUUCACCAUUUGCAGAUUUCAAGCGCCUGGUUGAGUCAUGCUGACCGACACAAAAUUGGAAUGUGAAGUUGGGAUCUUGCCAUAGCUCAGUAUUAUGAACAAAGCUCUUAAAAGAUUCCACAUCAUGAAAGCAAAAUGAAAGAGAAGUUAAUUUUGUCAACCUAGACACCUCUCUUGUUAUAUGUUUUACAACAUUGUUCCACCACCGAUUCUG
rnacentral:misc_RNA from 1 species